UAGUACUGCGAGUGAGCGGGAAAAGCUCAAAUUUAAAAUCUGGCGGCUUUGGUCGUCCGAGUUGUAUUCUAGAGAAGCGUUUUCCGCGCUGGACCGUGUACAAGUCUCUUGGAACAGAGCGUCAUAGAGGGUGAGAAUCCCGUCUUUGACACGGACUACCAGUGCUUUGUGAUGCGCUCUCAAAGAGUCGAGUUGUUUGGGAAUGCAGCUCAAAAUGGGUGGUAAAUUCCAUCUAAAGCUAAAUAUUGGCGAGAGACCGAUAGCGAACAAGUACCGUGAGGGAAAGAUGAAAAGCACUUUGGAAAGAGAGUUAAACAGUACGUGAAAUUGCUGAAAGGGAAACGCUUGAAGUCAGUCGCGUUGGUUAGAACUCAACCAGGCUUGCUUGGUGCAUUUUCUAUUCAACGGGCCAGCAUCAGUUUUGACUGUAGGAAAAAGAUCAGAGAAAUGUGGCACCUUCGGGUGUGUUAUAGUCUUUGGUUGCAUACUAUGGUUGGGACUGAGGAUCUCAGCACGCAUCUGUUGUGCUUAGGAUGCUGGCGUAAUGGCUUUAAACGACCCGUCUUGAAACACGGACCAAGGAGUCUAACAAACCUGCGAGUGUUUGGGUGGUAAACCCGAGCGCGUAAUGAAAGUGAAAGUUGGGAUCCCUGUCGUGGGGAGCACCGACGCCCGGACCAGACCUUCUGUGACGGAUCUGCGGUAGAGCAUGUUUGUUGGGACCCGAAAGAUGGUGAACUAUGCCUGAAUAGGGUGAAGCCAGAGGAACUCUGGUGGAGGCUCGUAGCGAUUCUGACGUGCAAAUCGAUCGUCAAAUUUGGGUAUAGGGGCGAAAGACUAAUCGAACCAUCUAGUAGCUGGUUCCUGCCGAAGUUUCCCUCAGGAUAGCAGAAACUCAUAUCAGAUUUAUGUGGUAAAGCGAAUGAUUAGAGGCCUUGGGGUUGAAACAACCUUAACCUAUUCUCAAACUUUAA
rnacentral:rRNA from 2 species